UGACAGUACUCCUACGGGGAGGCAGCAGUGGGGGAAUAUUGCACAAUGGGCGCAAGCCUGAUGCAGCCAUGCCGCGUGUGUGAAGAAGGACCUUCGGGUUGUAAAGCACUUUCAGUCGUGAGGAAGGUGGUAGUGUUAAUAGCACUAUCAUUUGACGUUAGCGACAGAAGAAGCACCGGCUAACUCCGUGCCAGCAGCCGCGGUAAUACGGAGGGUGCGAGCGUUAAUCGGAAUUACUGGGCGUAAAGCGCAUGCAGGUGGUUUGUUAAGUCAGAUGUGAAAGACCCGGGGCUCAACCUCGGAAUAGCAUUUGAAACUGGCAGACUAGAGUACUGUAGAGGGGGGUAGGAAUUUCAGGUGUAGCGGUGAAAUGCGUAGAGAUCUGAAGGAAUACCGGUGGCGAAGGCGGCCCCCUGGACAGAUACUGACACUCAGAUGCGAAAGCGUGGGGAGCAAACAGGAUUAGAUACCCUGGUAG
rnacentral:rRNA from 1 species